GUCCGACAGUUCCGCUGCAGGGACAAGCCAGUACUUCACUGCAGAGACAAUGGCCUGGGCUACUUGCACUUGAUUAUGAUAUGCCUCUUCAAUCACAAGAGCAAACACAGGAGCCUCAUGGUGCAUCAGAUAUGCCAGUGGAAGAUGUGUCUCUUCAGUCACAAGAACAACCACAGGAACCCUGCGUUCUUUCGGAGCCACCUGGCACACCUGACACACCAGUUUCCCCACCUUCACCUGUUCCAAGACCAUCUCAUGUUCCUAUACCAUCUACCAAUACCUCGACAGGUGUUUUUUUUUUUUUUUUGCCACAGCAUUUUCAUGGAAUUCCUGCUCGCUUUUGUAUUUUUUUUUUUAGAUCCUUGCGGCAGUGUGAGUGAUAC